AUUGAACGCUGGCGGCAUGCCUAACACAUGCAAGUCGAACGAGUGGCGGACGGGUGAGUAAUGUCUGGGAAACUGCCCGUUGGAGGGGGAUAACUACUGGAAAAGGUAGCUAAUACCGCAUACCCUCGGAUGUGCCCAGCUGGGAUUAGCUAGUAGGUGGGGUAACGGCUCACCUAGGCGACGAUCCCUAGCUGGUCUGAGAGGAUGACCAGCCACACUGGAACUGAGACACGGUCCAGACUCCUACGGGAGGCAGCAGGGGGGAAUAUUGCACAAUGGGCGCAAGCCGGAUGAAGCAAUGCCGCGUGUAUGAAGAAGGCCUUCGGGUUGUAAAGUACUUUCAGCGAGGAGGCGUUACUGGAAGAAGAAGCACCGGCUAACUACGUGCCAGCAGCCGCGGUAAUUC
rnacentral:rRNA from 1 species